AGAGUUUGAUCCUGGCUCAGGACGAACGCUGGCGGCAGGCUUAACACAUGCAAGUCGAACGCUCUCUUCGGAGAGAGUGGCAGACGGGUGAGUAACGCGUGGGAAUCUACCCAGUACUACGGAACAACAGUUAGAAAUGACUGCUAAUACCGUAUACGCCCUCCGGGGGAAAGAUUUAUCGGUAUUGGAUGAGCCCGCGUUUGAUUAGCUAGUUGGUGAGGUAAUGGCUCACCAAGGCGACGAUCAAUAGCUGGUCUGAGAGGAUGAUCAGCCACACUGGGACUGAGACACGGCCCAGACUCCUACGGGAGGCAGCAGUGGGGAAUAUUGGACAAUGGGCGAAAGCCUGAUCCAGCCNUGCCGCGUGUGUGAUGAAGGCCCUAGGGUUGUAAAGCACUUUCAACGGUGAAGAUAAUGACGGUAACCGUAGAAGAAGCUCCGGCUAACUUCGUGCCAGCAGCCGCGGUAAUAAGG
rnacentral:rRNA from 1 species